rnacentral:lncRNA from 1 species
CCUAACCUGCGCAGCUUCUUCAUCUUCUUCCUCAUUUUCUCUUCUUCUUCCCCAACAAAUAUUAAGCUCGUUUAAUUACUUUUGAUUUUUUGGGAUUUUCACAUAUAUACUGCUAUACUUUGAUCUGUGCAGUCUAUUGAACUUCUAGGUGUGAAAUUACGCAUGCUUGGAGCUCACCAACUUCAAAAUGCCGUAACUGCUACAUGUGCAGCCUUGUGCCUUAAUAAGCUAGGCAAGGACUCUUCUUCCCCAACAAACAUUAAGCUCGUUUAAUUACUUUUGAUUUUUCGGGAUUUUCACGUAUAUACUGCUAUACUUUGAUCUGUGCAGUCGAUUGAACUGCUAGGUGUGAAAUUACGCAUGCUUGGAGCUCACCAACUUCAAAAUGCCGUAACUGCUACAUGU